rnacentral:rRNA from 1 species
AUUGAACGCUGGCGGCAGGCCUAACACAUGCAAGUCGAGCGGUAACAGGUCCUUCGGGAUGCUGACGAGCGGCGGACGGGUGAGUAAUGCAUAGGAAUCUGCCCGGUAGUGGGGGAUAACCUGGGGAAACCCAGGCUAAUACCGCAUACAUCCUACGGGAGAAAGGGGGCUCCGGCUCCCGCUAUUGGAUGAGCCUAUGUCGGAUUAGCUAGUUGGUGAGGUAAUGGCUCACCAAGGCAACGAUCCGUAGCUGGUCUGAGAGGAUGAUCAGCCACAUCGGGACUGAGACACGGCCCGAACUCCUACGGGAGGCAGCAGUGGGGAAUAUUGGACAAUGGGCGAAAGCCUGAUCCAACCAUGCCGCGUGUGUGAAGAAGGCCCUCGGGUUGUAAAGCACUUUCAGCGAGGAAGAACGCCUAGGGGUUAAUACCCCCUAGGAAAGACAUCACUCGCAGAAGAAGCACCGGCUAACUCCGUGCCAGCAGCCGCGGUAAUACGGAGGGUGCAAGCGUUAAUCGGAAUUACUGGGCGUAAAGCGCGCGUAGGUGGCUUGAUAAGCCGGUUGUGAAAGCCCCGGGCUCAACCUGGGAACGGCAUCCGGAACUGUCAAGCUAGAGUGCAGGAGAGGAAGGUAGAAUUCCCGGUGUAGCGGUGAAAUGCGUAGAGAUCGGGAGGAAUACCAGUGGCGAAGGCGGCCUUCUGGACUGACACUGACACUGAGGUGCGAAAGCGUGGGUAGCAAACA